rnacentral:rRNA from 1 species
AAACCAACAGGGAUUGCCCCAGUAACGGCGAGUGAAGCGGCAACAGCUCAAAUUUGAAAUCUGGCCUCGGCCCGAGUUGUAAUUCGCAGAGGAUGCUUCUGGCGCGGCGCCUUCCGAGUUCCCUGGAACGGGACGCCACAGAGGGUGAGAGCCCCGUAUGGUCGGACGCCAAGCCAGUGUGAAGCUCCUUCGAAGAGUCGAGUAGUUUGGGAAUGCUGCUCUAAGCGGGAGGUAUACGUCUUCUAAAGCUAAAUACCGGCCAGAGACCGAUAGCGCACAAGUAGAGUGAUCGAAAGAUGAAAAGCACCUUGAAAAGGGGGUUAAACAGUACGUGAAAUUGUUGAAAGGGAAGCGCCUGUGACCAGACUUGCGCCGGGCGGAUCAUCCAGCGUUCUCGCUGGUGCGCUCCGCCCGGCUCAGGCCAGCAUCGGUUCUGGCGGGGGGAUAAAGGCGGCGGGAACGUGGCUCCCCCGGGAGUGUUAUAGCCCGCCGUGCAAUGCCCCCGCUGGGACCGAGGUUCGCGCAUCUGCAAGGAUGCUGGCGUAAUGGUCACCAGCGAC